GCGGAGGAAAAGAAACCAACAGGGAUUGCCCUAGUAACGGCGAGUGAAGCGGCAACAGCUCAAAUUUGAAAUCUGGCUGUCUUUGGCAGUCCGAGUUGUAAUUUGCAGAGGGUGCUUUGGUGUUGGCAGCGGUCUAAGUUCCUUGGAACAGGACGUCACAGAGGGUGAGAAUCCCGUACGUGGUCGCCUGCCUUCGCCGUGUAAAGCCCCUUCGACGAGUCGAGUUGUUUGGGAAUGCAGCUCUAAAUGGGAGGUAAAUUUCUUCUAAAGCUAAAUACUGGCCAGAGACCGAUAGCGCACAAGUAGAGUGAUCGAAAGAUGAAAAGCACUUUGGAAAGAGAGUCAAACAGCACGUGAAAUUGUUGAAAGGGAAGCGCUUGCCGCCAGACGUGCCCGCGGUUGUUCUCUUCCGUGGGCAGGCCAGCAUCAGUUUGGGCGGUCGGAUAAAGGCCUCUGUCACGUAUCACCCUUCGGGGUGACCUUAUAGGGGAGGUGUAAUGCGACCAGCCUGGACUGAGGUCCGCGCAUCUGCUAGGAUGCUGGCGUAAUGGCUGUAAGCGGCCCGUCUUGAAACACGGACCAAGGAGUCUAACAUCUAUGCGAGUGUUUGGGUGUCAAGCCCGAGCGCGUAAUGAAAGUAAACGGAGGUGGGAACCCCUUUCGGGGUGCACCAUCGACCGAUCCUGAUGUCUUCGGAUGGAUUUGAGUAAGAGCAUAGCUGUUGGGACCCGAAAGAUGGUGAACUAUGCUUGAAUAGGGUGAAGCCAGAGGAAACUCUGGUGGAGGCUCGCAGCGGUUCUGACGUGCAAAUCGAUCGUCAAAUUUGGGCAUAGGGGCGAAAGACUA
rnacentral:sRNA from 1 species